GGCAUAUGCCUUUAAUUCCAUAGCAUCUAAGUUAAUUCUGAAGGCAUAUGCCUUUAAUUGCAUUGCAUCUAAGUUAAUUCUGCAGGCAUAUGCCUUUAAUUGCAUAGCACUUAAGUUAAUUCUGAGGGCAUAUGCCUUUAAUUGCAUUGCAUCUAAUUCAUUAUGCAGGCCUAUGCCUUUAAUUCCAUAGCAUCUAAUUAAUUCUGAAGGCAUAUGCCUUUAAUUCCAUAGCAUCUAAGUUAAUUCUGCAGGCAUAUGCCUUUAAUUGCAUUGCAUCUAAGUUAAUU